rnacentral:tRNA from 1 species
UUAGCGGUAGCUCAAAGGUAGAGUGUUCUCAUUUUAGGUACACGAGAAAGGUGGAGGUUCGAUUCCUCUCCGCUAAA